CACUGACAUUAUCCUGAUCUCAACUUAAAGCAGCAAGGUGCAAAAAUAGGACAAUUUUCCCCUUACUACAAAGGCAGUAGGAUGGGGUUGGUAGGAAACUGGAUGCUCUGAAGUUUUGGGGAGAAGCAGUGGAAGAAACCAGGCACUACACACACCUGCCCAGUUCAGAGAUGAAGAGCACCUCUCCCCAGAGACAACAACAAAUCAAACCAGGUGAAAAUGAAGAUACUUCCCCAGCUGUGCCUGAAAAGCUAAAUCAGCUCUGGGGAUUUAUGUGCUGUGAGAAACUGGGCUCUCUAAAGGGUUCAGUCUCAUGAAGAUGAAACUGAUACAGGCAAAGCGAAGGAAUUGAUACCAACAACAGGACUGAAAGGAUUCUGAACAUCUGUCUUAGCUUCAAAAAUUCACCUGGAAUAUCAAUGCCACUGGACACGCUUCAGGGCCAAGGAUGCUGCAGCUGACCCACAUGGGAAGAAAUCCACACAAAAAGACAAGACCAUGUCCCAGCACAAAAUUCUGCAUGGAAAAGAAGCUGAAUUUCUGCUUAAAAGCUGGGAGUCCCUAAUGGGGGAGAACUCCUUUUGACAUUUUCCCAGUGGUUAGAGCACUUGGAGAGUAAAUCCAGAGCAAAUCUGGAUGCUAAAUCUUCUCCUUCAUCUUUCUGGAGAAGUACAGCAAGUAACAAAGACACAGAAAUAAUCCCAGAUUCAUCAAACAGCUCAGAUUGGAAACAAGGCUGGUAAUGAGAUCCCGCCUGGAUUUAUUCACUUUGGCCUUGCAAACAUCCAAGGAUGGAGACUGUACAACCUCUCUGGGCAAUCAGUUACUGUCCAUGAGCAUCUCAGUGCCCAUUAAUGUGCUUCUAACACCAAAUAAUUCUGUUUAUACCAAGAAUGUCGUGACAGCCACCAUGGCAGGACGUCAGAGAAUUCUCUUUGAACUUCAAGUUCUUGGACUCAGCUGUUUUGGGCUGAAAACAGUGGUUCAUAAGAACUUGAUAUAAAUCUUGAGCAAGAGGAAGGGUAACCUCACCUAUCUGUGAAUCAUCAGAGCAGAGGGAUUUCCAGAGCAAUCUCACUCCACUUGAUAACAACCCACAGUUCUUAGAAUUUAAUCCCAUAUCCAGAAUUUUAUUUCAAUCCAAAAAGAUUAUCUGUAAAUUUGGAUAGAGCUUUCGCUCAGAUGUUUGUAAAGCUGAUUUUCUUCUCCCCUUCCAAACCCUCCUUCACUGUUUGCCUUGGCUUACAGUGUCUUUCCCAGUUAUUAGUUUUAAAAGUGGUGACCAAUGCAACAGAGGUUUAACUCCCCCCAUCCCCCUCCUUUUCAUAAAAUCACAGAAUCAUAGAACAUUUUAAGCUGGAAGUGAUGGGAUGACUGCGUCCAACUCCCAGCAAAGGUUCUUAAUCCAGAUCUUUGUAGGUCCAUUGCAACUCAGGAUCUUCUAGAAUUCCAAAAAGACAAACCUUCUAAAGUCCUUCUAAAAUCCCUCCAGUUUCUCAGGCAGUGGGAUUUUCAGCAUGUAAGAAACCUGCAUUUUUGGCACAGAAACCCACUGUGGCUAACACGGGGGAGUUCUGAAUAAUUUCUUAUCCAAAUCCUUCCUCUAGCAGAGCAGCACAACCCUUUUUUUCCUCAGUGAUGGCAGAUAUCCCAUCUGUACUGAGUCUAGUCAUGUGUAAUAUUUUCACUGCUGUGUUUUUGACGUUUUCUCACUUCUUCAAACAAGCUUGAGACUGUGGUGGUAGGACAAAAUGGUCAUUUCCUCAUUUAAAGCAUGUUUUUUUUCCCAUGGCUGGCCAAACAAAAACAUUCCCUGUGCAGUGUCAAAAGCAAUGGAGUUUUUUUCAGUUGUCAUCAAAAAUAUUGAAGUAUGUGUAUUGGAAACUUCAUCUGUGAUGAAAUGUUUCUGUUCUGAGACAUUUCUUACUCAUUUUAGUUAUGGAACUCAGCCAAAGUAUGAAACUAGGUGAAACUGUGAAGCAAGUAAAAAAUAGGGGAAAAACCCCCACAAUUUUCUGGGGGUUUGGGUUAUUCUAUAUAUGGCAAAAGGCACUGUUUCCUUCACUGCUUUCACAGUCACAUUUUCAGCUGUUCCCUUAGCAGAAGAAAGAAUAUUUCAAAUGCCUUUCUAACCAUUUUCAACUCCUUGCAGUUUGGGUUCUGGUUUUUUUUAAGGCAGCAAACCUAAGCUGAUCUUCCCAAGCCAGGACAAGUUUUCCUCUGGGACUUUCCUCUUCAUAUUUAUUUCACUUCUUGCUGUUGUCCUUCCAAUGAUCUUCAAAGCUGAAGAUCACUGGAAGGACAACAGCAAGCAUUUUCUGGGAAAAAGAAAAGGAAAAUCAAAUCCAGAAAGGUUUGGAGGUUCUGGCAGGGUCACCACAAUAAGUGUGGUGUGUAGCAGGGUUGGUUCUCUGCUUGGGAUCUCCACCACUGGCUGGAAACCACCAUUUAAUGGGAUUUAAUUACUUUUUGAGCAGGCUGACACUGCUCUGAUCAGCCCUCAUAUUUCGCUUUUGUGCCACACGCUGAUCCCCACCAUUUCCCACCUGUGUGAGUGGGAGCUGCUCUGUUGUCCCGAUCCUCAGAUGUUCUAAAGAGUGGUUUCUCACAGCCACCCCAAAAAACUCCAGUUAGGUUGCCAUGUACUGCCCUCUAAUGCCAUUUUGGCAUAUUAGCAGCCCUCAGCCUCAGAGGAGAUCUGCAACAUAAAACAAAUCAUCCACAUCCACCAAAAACUGCUAUCAGUGCUUUAGGGAAAUGAGACAGAAAUGAGACAGUUAAUGGCUGCUUUCUCCCCAGCACAGCUUCAUUUUACACAUUCUUAAAGAUCACCAUCAGGGAGAAAAAUGAGAACUCCCUAUUUACCUUUUCUAGACCAUUUUGGGUGCUUGAUGCUUCCAGGGUCUCCUUCAGCUGUCUCUUUUCACUAACCACAUCUGAUUUCUUUAGGUCUUUUAUUGCACUGCUGCUUCUUGGAGAGGAUGAGACACCCAGGAGUGCAGGUGGCCACUCAAAUGUGCAUGUGCAUGUUGGAUUUAUGAGGAUACUUUCUCCUUUUUUAAGAUUUUAAUACUUCCCAGCAGCCUGUUUGCUUUCCUGCUUCCUUCCUUCACUAAGUAGGCAUUUCAGGAAAAUUAUCCCAAAUGAAUGCAGCAUCUCUUUCCUUAAUGGAAGCAGCUGAUUUAGAGCUGCUGCUGUGUGUGUUUUGUUAGUGCUAUUUUGUCUUGUGUGCAUUGCUUUGCAUUCAUUAACACUGGAUCCCAUCUGCCAUCUCAUCACCCAGCCAGUGCCACGCCAUCCUUCUGCAACUUCUUCUUGCUUCCAGCUUUUGGCUGAUUACUCUGAAAAAAUUGGGAUUCGCAGCAGAUUUCACCACCUUGGCUGUUCACCUUUUCCAGGUGGCCUGUUGGUACAAUGAAGGGUUCCAAUCAAGGCUGGUGGUUCUUCUCACAGUGGGAAAAUUGAUUUAUUCACAGCUUUUUGGACCCCCCUGUAAUUAAUCCCAUCUCCAUAAUCCUAUCCUCUCCUCUCCCCUCCCCCAGCUGCAUCAAACUCAUCUCAAAAUGAUGAGAAUAUUGUGAAGCUGGGAGAAAAGAGCUGCAAGAAAACAUAAAGACAGAACCACGUGGGAUUAGAAAGGCAGGUACAGAGGUAGAACUGGUGACACAGAAAUCAUGAGUGGGAUUCAAGAGGAAAAGCACCACCAUGGAAAAGUUUGAAAUAUGAAUGGAAAAAAAAUAAAAAUAGCUGGAAGAUCAGACUUCCAUAUCUGUGAGGGUCUGUAGGAGGCACAGAGCUGACCAGUGCUCCCCCACCUUUGCAGAGGAAAAGGAGAUUUCAGCCACUAUUAACCCACCUUCAAGAUGUGCAGUGCUGGGGAUGAGCUCACAUAUUUCUCCUCCAUUUCCAGUCUGUCUGGGACCUUAGCAGCAGGGUGAGGUUUCUUUAUCUGCCUGCAGCCUCCCUGAAUUUAAUGAGAAGGAUUUUCUUGGCUCCUUUGCUCCUAAGUGGGCGUGUACAAAUACACUGGGGCUGUUAUUACAGUGAUGGCUCAGUUUUGAUCCAUGCCUACUGCACUUUCCAGGCUUAACCAAGAGCUGCUCCUCUCCUUGUGAGUUAUCUGAUUCCUGACUUUAAUAGGUAGUUAUUUACAGGUCUGAUAAUUCAACCUUUACCCUCCCUGUUAUGAUUUGUUCUGAGGAGGAACUGAAAUCUCCUGUUGCUCUCGUGUUUUCCACCUUUGCAGACUCUAAUCUCCUUUGAGUUUCUCCCAGUGGCUGUCAUGCUGAGAUAUUGCUCUGUGACAUUUCAAUCCACAGGGAUUUCUCUCAGUACCUUCUGAUGCAAUUAAUUAUUUGAUUCCUUCCUUUAACAUAGGAUACAUGGUUCUUUUCUCAGUGAGAUCCUUAUGCUGUAAAAGUAGUGUCUUACUGAUUUUUUUUCCUUCCAGAAGGUUACAGAUGUGUGAAUUAUAUCAAUCCUUCCUUUUAAAAAUGCAUGCAUUGCUAAAGCAAAAAAACAUAGGAAGAUGCUUGGGAGGUCCUCUAAAAAUAAAGUGAAGAUAAUUUCUUCUUAUAUUUAAGGACCUUUCACUGUCAUUAUGAAAAUAGACAUAUCUGUAAAUGUGUUUAGAAAGAUUGGGUUAAUAGAAAGCAGCAUGAGUAGGAGAGGAAGUAGUAGCUUUAUUUUAUUUAUUUUUGCAGCUAACCACAGGGAAAUAAACUGCACAGUAGCACAGUCUGAAGCAAUGCUGGAGGUAAAGACUUUCAGAUUAAUACAGAGAUAGUGCUUGUAAAAUUUUGAGGUUGAGGUGCCAGAUCUAUCUGCUUCAGGGCUGGAGGCUGUGUUUGGCUUUGCAGACAGUCUUGCAUGUUCAUUUGCAUCAUCAUGUGGUGCAAGUGGCCAUAAUUCUUAGAAAACUCAGCUCAUCUAUUUUACGUGCUUGGUAUGAGCUGGAGAUACACUGGCCCAGUGUAAGUAAAAAAGAAAAUCCAUUUUUGCCUCUGUCAAAAAGAAGAUAUUAAAUAAUCAGUGCGAGAGAUUGGGCUGGGAAAUUGGUAUGGUUGGGUAAAUUUUAGGCUCACACAGAUGCGGAAUUUUAAGGUUUGCUCUAGAAAACAAAAGCAAUUUGUUUGCAGACCAAACAAAUCCACUUCAGGCCCAAAUGACAUAAUGCAGAAAGACCUUCUAAUAGCCAAAUAUUUUGCAAUAACAAUUACCUAGUGGCAGUGAUGGCAUACUAAAAUGACAGCAAACAUGCUGGAAUAACAGACAGAAUUGUUUGAAAUACACUUGAUGAGGACUAAGUUUUCUGUUUUUGUAACUUUCUCAGUGUGACUGUGUUGCCAGACUCAAAAGAGUCUCAUAUCACUGUCUCUGUUUACCUUCCCAAAAUCUCAGGUGCCCUUGGUAAGUAACUGGAAAUACUGAAUGGCUGUGGAGACAGGUUAUUUACUGAAUAAAAUACCACAGAUGUGGAAACCCAGGGCACUGGGAAUAUUUCUCUGUCUGCUCUGGGGUGCCCUGACCCCCAGGGGAGCACUGACUUUGACCCUCAUUCAUGGAGAAAGUUUCCCAGACUUCAAGAUCGACUGGAAUCCACAAAAGUGUGAAAGAGAUUAUAGAGAUCAGUGCAGGUGUGUCACUUAGGUGGGAAAUUGAGGGUUUGGGAUUUUUAGUGUGUUGUGGAUGGAAGCAAGAUGGAGGGCACAGGGUGUCAUCCUGGGUUUCUUCUUCAUGCUUCUUCUCCAUGGUUUGGGUGGCAUUUUGUAAUUGGGCAGAAAAGUCCCCAUUGUGGGCUCCGUGGGAUCAGUUAUUGGGUCAAAAGGGAAAAUAAUCCAGAUGUCAGUUCUUAAUUGGAUAGUUCAGUCUUAAAGGACCUUGUACCAAGAGAUUGUUGGCCAUUUUGCGCCUUCUAAUAAAAAACUGCCAAACUC